rnacentral:rRNA from 1 species
GUUUGAUCCUGGCUCAGAUUGAACGCUGGCGGCAUGCCUUACACAUGCAAGUCGAACGGUAACAGGUCUUUCGGGAUGCUGACGAGUGGCGAACGGGUGAGUAAUACAUCGGAACGUGCCUAGUAGUGGGGGAUAACUACUCGAAAGAGUGGCUAAUACCGCAUGAGAUCUAUGGAUGAAAGCAGGGGACCUUCGGGGCCUUGUGCUACUAGAGCGGCCGAUGGCAGAUUAGGUAGUUGGUGGGGAUAAAAAGCUUACCAAGCCUACGAUCUGUAGCUGGUCUGAGAGGACGAUCAGCCACACUGGGACUGAGACGGCCCAGACUCCUACGGGAGGCAGCAGUGGGGAAUUUUGGACAAUGGGGGAAACCCUGAUCCAGCAAUGCCGCGUGCAGGAUGAAGGCCUCGGUUGUAAC